rnacentral:lncRNA from 1 species
AAUGGUUACAUUUUAUUUUAUGUAAAUUAUUACUUAAUAAAGUUGAUUGGAAAGAAAUAUAGGGAAUUUUGAAACCGAUUGAAACUCAGACUUUAGUGGAGGUGCACUAAUUUCCUGGUACUAGUCUCACCAAGGUGGCAGGGUGAGGCUGGUUCUACCUGUUGGAAAAAAAACCCGAACUGCAUUCAGCUGCUGUUCUAGGAAAGAACUGCUGGGAAAGAAGCUUUUUUAAGGUGCUGUUCACCUAGGAAUGGAGAAGAGACAGGAUGUCAACAGGAAGCAAACAAAAAUGAGCAAUUCCUUUCCUCCUCUUCAGGCCUUGUAUUCUCCCUCUAGUGUGCCCCAGAGCAGAAGUGGGUUGCGUAGUCUUGAUUCCAGCGUCAUGUAGUGACUAUAGCAUCACAGGUUUGGAGGUGAGAAACAAUGGCUUAAUAGCUGGCACCCCUAAUAUGCGCCAAACAGUGUACUAAGCCUUGCAGGUUGGACAAAGAUGGAGAGGCUAGUGUUUGCCUUCAAGGAGCUUACAGCAUCACAGGGCAUAUAAAUCUCUGUGUCAAUAGCUGUAACCAAAGUUACAGUGAGAUAUUGCUAUUCUGGGAUUGUGGAAACAAAGUGCUGUGGGUGUCCAGAAGGAUCAUGAGUCAUUUUCAGAUGGGGAUUUGGAGAGAGUUCUUUAGGACAAGUGGUGUGUCAACUGGGGUGGGAAAGUUGGAUAAAAUUAUGACUGUUAGAAGUCAGGUGACAGUGGAGUUGAUGGUGAGGAUGGUAAUGGGUAUAGCAGGAAGAGCAUUCUACCCUGGCUGGUAAAGUUCAUGUUAUUUAAUUCGAACUUAGGAUAUUAGAAGAGCAGCCCAGAGGAAUUGAGAUGAGUUGAGGCCAGAUCAUGGGGAGUCAGUCAUAAAUACCAUGCUGAGAAAUUUAGGCUUUUUUUGUACAGGCAGUGGUGUGAAGUCAAAGCCUUCUAACUUGAACCAUAAAAAUUAUUGUUUUAUCAUUUAAACUAGUGAUUUUAAAACCUGAGUGUUUAUCAAGCUCAGUUGGGGCAACUUCUGGAACUUUCAUACACUCAGGUACUAUUCCAGACUUUCCUGAAUCAGAUUGAUAAUCAGCUCAAACUCCAUUUUUCUCACGGAGUACUUUCUUGAUCACUGUACUGAAAGUGGCUCCCCAGUUAUUCUAUAUCACAUUUUAUUAUUUUAUUUGCAUAGCAUCACUUAAUCGUCAUUUGUACUGAUCUUGUUUACUUAUUUGAUGACUUGUUUUUGUUUGUUUCUCCCAAGUAAAACACACGUUCCGUGUAGGGAGGGACAUGGUUGUCUUCCUCACUGCUGAAACCAUGGUGCCUGCAGUGGUGCUGGACACAUGACAGACCAUCAGAAUAAUAUUUUUGGGACUGCACUGUGCAGUGGAAAGAACAGUCAUUCCGGAGCCACGCAGCCUGGGGUUGGAAACGUGCUCCGUUACAUUCCAACUGAAGAGAGAGACAUCAAGUAAUUGCCUAGUUUGGACCACAUUCUAUAAGCAAGACUCUAGGUUUUCCCAGAGACUUGAGCAUCCAUGACAUGCUGAAAUAUAUACUGGGAAAAAGACCCUGC